rnacentral:SRP_RNA from 1 species
GGCUCGGCCCUGCGCGACAGAGCCCAGCGAACCCCGUCAGGUCCGGAAGGAAGCAGCGGUAGUUUGGUGCAAUGUGCGACGCAGGUAACCCGAGCCACU